UUUAGUUUCAACUUUCAACGUUAUGCUUAGCUACUCCGCAUGAUGCGAUUAUUUGAUCAAUGUUUUUUUACUUUUUUCAAUCACGCGAUGGAGUGUUGAAAUUUCUACAUAUUCUCACUUCAGUGAAUUGCAAAAUCGAAACUAUCAACUGAAUCGUGAGAUAAGGCUUGAUGCUUUGUUUGCAGCACUUCCAGCAUCUGUGGGAAGUGAGAAACAGAAACCGGAUUGAAUCAAAUCAAUGAAGUAUCUGUGAGUUACUUCUUCUAUUCACGGCGGAAGAUCAGAGGGAGACUGGCACUUUUUGGUAUGAUCGAGCCAUUAAUUUACCUCAUCUUGACAUGAAACAGGUCCUUCUGAAUCAGGAUUUCCCAUGAAGUCUAACAUCAGAAGAUGAAACUUGAAGUUUGUACAUGGCAUGCACAUGUUGACGGUAGAAAGUAAAAUAUGAUAUA